UUUAAGGAGACGGCGCUGCUUUGAAAAUCGUCGCGCCGAUGGUCGAAGGAAGCUUCGGCUUCCGGGUCUCAGUUGAUCGCACAAAAUAAAUUUCGAGAAUCUAGUUCUUUAUAUUAUCGCCGACCAAUUUCGGGGUCGUAGCUCAGUUGGUAGAGCACCUGCUUUGCAAGCAGGGGGUCGCGAGUUCGAAUCUCGCCGGCUCCACCAGAUUGGCUGCCCCUUGGGCACCGGUCACUUUUUUCGGAUCUUGGGCUCAUAGCUCAGAUGGUUAGAGCACGCGCUUGAUAAGCGCGGGGUCGAUGGUUCAAGUCCAUCUGGGCCCACCAUCUUGAGCACGAGUUCAAGAUUUUAGGGUAAGUUGACCUGAUUCGGCAACGUCACCAAAUUUCGUUCUUUGAAAGUUCAGAUUAAACAGCAUGUAAUUGUAAGAGGGUAAAAUAAACGCCUAGAAUACUGUGCGUU
rnacentral:tRNA from 1 species